rnacentral:rRNA from 1 species
UGGGGAAUAUUGGGCAAUGGGCGCAAGCCUGACCCAGCAACGCCGCGUGAGGGAAGAAGGUCUUCGGAUUGUAAACCUCUGUCCUUGGUGAAAAGUAAGAGAUGGUAGCCAAGGAGGAAGCUCCGGCUAACUACGUGCCAGCAGCCGCGGUAAUACGUAGGGAGCGAGCGUUGUCCGGAAUGAUUGGGCGGAAAGGGCGUGUAGGCGGCCGUUUAAGUCUGGAGUGAAAUUCCUGUGUUUAAGGUAGGAACUGCUUUGGAAACUGGACGGCUUGAGUGCAGGAGAGGUUAUCGGAAUUCCCGGUGUAGCGGUGAAAUGCGUAGAGAUCGGGAGGAACACCAGUGGCGAAGGCGGGUAACUGGACUGCAACUGACGCUGAGGCGCGAAAGUGUGGGGAGCAAACA